UCCUAAUUAGGCUUUCCAGUUACCUAUAUGAAUAUCGAAAAUUUUAUUAGUUUCAUUUAAUUAAAUGAAAGAUAAUUUUUUAAAAGCACAACUCAGUUAUAAUGAAUACUUCUCCUGUAAUGUCUCAGAUAUCAUCCUCAUUGAAUGCCUCACCAAGAUUAACCGGAUGGAUAUUGUACAUCUCAUGGUGACCAGCACAGAACCUCCCCAGGAGCACAUCAGCCACAGCUAUGCGGAAAUUGAGCAGACCAUUGUGUUGGACCAUAGUGAAGGGUUCUCAGUACUUCAAGAGGAGCUCAGCUCUGCAUGGCACAAGCAGAAAGAGAAGCAAGGUGCUUCUGGGGAGAAUGAGUCCCGUGACCAUCCGCCCAUCGUCUCAGAAGAAGACAUUUCUGUUAGUUAUUCUACGUUUCAGGAUUGCAUUCCCCAAACUGAAGAGGACAGCUCAGCAACCGCAGUCUCUCCCCAAAUGCACAAGGAGCCAAUUCAGCAAGAUUUCUCAGGGAAAAUGCAAGAUAUGCCUGUCAAUCAGCAGGAAUACUUGUGAGUUGCAGAAGAAAGCCUGUUAAAUGCAGUUCAAAGAAAGCUGACAUGACAGGGU
rnacentral:lncRNA from 1 species